rnacentral:snRNA from 1 species
CGCUGUUCUUUUGGAGCCAA